GGGUUGUGAGGUUAAGCGACUAAGCGUACACGGUGGAUGCCCUGGCAGUCAGAGGCGAUGAAGGACGUGCUAAUCUGCGAUAAGCGUCGGUAAGGUGAUAUGAACCGUUAUAACCGGCGAUUUCCGAAUGGGGAAACCCAGUGUGUUUCGACACACUAUCAUUAACUGAAUCCAUAGGUUAAUGAGGCGAACCGGGGGAACUGAAACAUCUAAGUACCCCGAGGAAAAGAAAUCAACCGAGAUUCCCCCAGUAGCGGCGAGCGAACGGGGAGCAGCCCAGAGCCUGAAUCAGUGUGUGUGUUAGUGGAAGCGUCUGGAAAGGCGCGCGAUACAGGGUGACAGCCCCGUACACAAAAAUGCACAUGCUGUGAGCUCGAUGAGUAGGGCGGGACACGUGGUAUCCUGUCUGAAUAUGGGGGGACCAUCCUCCAAGGCUAAAUACUCCUGACUGACCGAUAGUGAACCAGUACCGUGAGGGAAAGGCGAAAAGAACCCCGGCGAGGGGAGUGAAAAAGAACCUGAAACCGUGUACGUACAAGCAGUGGGAGCCUCUUUAUGGGGUGACUGCGUACCUUUUGUAUAAUGGGUCAGCGACUUAUAUUCUGUAGCAAGGUUAACCGAAUAGGGGAGCCGAAGGGAAACCGAGUCUUAACUGGGCGUUAAGUUGCAGGGUAUAGACCCGAAACCCGGUGAUCUAGCCAUGGGCAGGUUGAAGGUUGGGUAACACUAACUGGAGGACCGAACCGACUAAUGUUGAAAAAUUAGCGGAUGACUUGUGGCUGGGGGUGAAAGGCCAAUCAAACCGGGAGAUAGCUGGUUCUCCCCGAAAGCUAUUUAGGUAGCGCCUCGUGAAUUCAUCUCCGGGGGUAGAGCACUGUUUCGGCAAGGGGGUCAUCCCGACUUACCAACCCGAUGCAAACUGCGAAUACCGGAGAAUGUUAUCACGGGAGACACACGGCGGGUGCUAACGUCCGUCGUGAAGAGGGAAACAACCCAGACCGCCAGCUAAGGUCCCAAAGUCAUGGUUAAGUGGGAAACGAUGUGGGAAGGCCCAGACAGCCAGGAUGUUGGCUUAGAAGCAGCCAUCAUUUAAAGAAAGCGUAAUAGCUCACUGGUCGAGUCGGCCUGCGCGGAAGAUGUAACGGGGCUAAACCAUGCACCGAAGCUGCGGCAGCGACGCUUAUGCGUUGUUGGGUAGGGGAGCGUUCUGUAAGCCUGUGAAGGUGUGCUGUGAGGCAUGCUGGAGGUAUCAGAAGUGCGAAUGCUGACAUAAGUAACGAUAAAGCGGGUGAAAAGCCCGCUCGCCGGAAGACCAAGGGUUCCUGUCCAACGUUAAUCGGGGCAGGGUGAGUCGACCCCUAAGGCGAGGCCGAAAGGCGUAGUCGAUGGGAAACAGGUUAAUAUUCCUGUACUUGGUGUUACUGCGAAGGGGGGACGGAGAAGGCUAUGUUGGCCGGGCGACGGUUGUCCCGGUUUAAGCGUGUAGGCUGGUUUUCCAGGCAAAUCCGGAAAAUCAAGGCUGAGGCGUGAUGACGAGGCACUACGGUGCUGAAGCAACAAAUGCCCUGCUUCCAGGAAAAGCCUCUAAGCAUCAGGUAACAUCAAAUCGUACCCCAAACCGACACAGGUGGUCAGGUAGAGAAUACCAAGGCGCUUGAGAGAACUCGGGUGAAGGAACUAGGCAAAAUGGUGCCGUAACUUCGGGAGAAGGCACGCUGAUAUGUAGGUGAAGUCCCUCGCGGAUGGAGCUGAAAUCAGUCGAAGAUACCAGCUGGCUGCAACUGUUUAUUAAAAACACAGCACUGUGCAAACACGAAAGUGGACGUAUACGGUGUGACGCCUGCCCGGUGCCGGAAGGUUAAUUGAUGGGGUCAGCGCAAGCGAAGCUCUUGAUCGAAGCCCCGGUAAACGGCGGCCGUAACUAUAACGGUCCUAAGGUAGCGAAAUUCCUUGUCGGGUAAGUUCCGACCUGCACGAAUGGCGUAAUGAUGGCCAGGCUGUCUCCACCCGAGACUCAGUGAAAUUGAACUCGCUGUGAAGAUGCAGUGUACCCGCGGCAAGACGGAAAGACCCCGUGAACCUUUACUAUAGCUUGACACUGAACAUUGAGCCUUGAUGUGUAGGAUAGGUGGGAGGCUUUGAAGUGUGGACGCCAGUCUGCAUGGAGCCGACCUUGAAAUACCACCCUUUAAUGUUUGAUGUUCUAACGUUGACCCGUAAUCCGGGUUGCGGACAGUGUCUGGUGGGUAGUUUGACUGGGGCGGUCUCCUCCUAAAGAGUAACGGAGGAGCACGAAGGUUGGCUAAUCCUGGUCGGACAUCAGGAGGUUAGUGCAAUGGCAUAAGCCAGCUUGACUGCGAGCGUGACGGCGCGAGCAGGUGCGAAAGCAGGUCAUAGUGAUCCGGUGGUUCUGAAUGGAAGGGCCAUCGCUCAACGGAUAAAAGGUACUCCGGGGAUAACAGGCUGAUACCGCCCAAGAGUUCAUAUCGACGGCGGUGUUUGGCACCUCGAUGUCGGCUCAUCACAUCCUGGGGCUGAAGUAGGUCCCAAGGGUAUGGCUGUUCGCCAUUUAAAGUGGUACGCGAGCUGGGUUUAGAACGUCGUGAGACAGUUCGGUCCCUAUCUGCCGUGGGCGCUGGAGAACUGAGGGGGGCUGCUCCUAGUACGAGAGGACCGGAGUGGACGCAUCACUGGUGUUCGGGUUGUCAUGCCAAUGGCACUGCCCGGUAGCUAAAUGCGGAAGAGAUAAGUGCUGAAAGCAUCUAAGCACGAAACUUGCCCCGAGAUGAGUUCUCCCUGACUCCUUGAGAGUCCUGAAGGAACGUUGAAGACGACGACGUUGAUAGGCCGGGUGUGUAAGCGCAGCGAUGCGUUGAGCUAACCGGUACUAAUGAACCGUGAGGCUUAACCUUACAACGCCGAAG
rnacentral:rRNA from 2 species